UUACACAGUAGCCCCUGCAACUGAGCAAUUGCGCCACCUACUGGUUCUCCAGCAGAUCUGAACAGUCCAUUGACGGCAGAUUCACUGGCUGAUAAUGCGGUAUGAAUUUAUGGAUUCAUGUUUUGUGUGUGUGUGUGUGUGUGUGUGUGUGUGUGUGUGUGUGUGGAGCAGGUACUCGCGAGCACCCUCCUGAAUGCUAAAAUGACAAACGGGACACAAUACGGUCUCGUAUUGUAGCCUAAGUCCGUAAGACCGCAAAUGCGCAUGAAGUGUUCAAUUUGGGACGGCCUUGGGCUUCUAUACUGUUUGACCAUAUGACAAUAAUAGCGGCAGGCGAUUUGUCAAAAGUAAGCCUCAGAGAGAAACGUGAUUGAUCAAAAAUAAGCCACAGGAGAGUAACGCGAUUGGCUGAUGUGGACUUAAUUUGGGCUUACUUUGGCUCAAUCGGUGUCGUGGGUUCGAAUUUCAUUGGAGUUGGAGGAAAGUGUAUCUUUAAUCGCUGUGAGUAAUAGUUUAUGGCAAAUGCAUAAAAAAUAGCAAAGAAGACUAAAAAAAUGAAAUAAAUAAAAGUCAGUAAAGUCAAUUGAUUUACCUCCUGAUUUGCAGUUGAAAAAGUCAGCGUAAUCAUGUAUUCCGGGCCGAGAUCGGGCAGGUGAGUCUACAGGCCUGCAAUGCCUUGGAGUCAAACUUAUAAGAGGACAUGAUGUUAAUAGUUUGAAAUUUCCACUUUUCGUUGCGGCUCCAAUUUUCUUUGCUGUUCUUCCCUUUAAGGCCAAUAGAGGGCGCUAGAGACAUUAGCUAUAGGCCUGUGUCUCAACGAGGGGCCCUUACCGGCUGUGACUUAAUGGUUGGUGUUUCGGGUUUGUGAACUCAGAAGGGUGUAACACGAAACACCAAGUAUAUAGUCACAGCCAAAUUUACCAGUAGUGCUCUGGUAGCAGAAAGUCUGCUACUGGACAGAUAUAAAGACAAAACAAAAUAAAUUAAUAGAUUGUGGUAUGCUUAUACUGUAGUUAUUAGGCUUGCUACGUAGAAAAUCAACUGCUUGCUGUAAGUAGCCUUGAAGAGAUUCCACUGGACUAUUCUCAAAGAGAACGACCUACAUACGUGUUUAACAAAUAACAUUUGAAAGGAAAGUCUGGUGUUUGAUGGACAUCCUGUGACUGCAUAUUAACUAAGCUUGAUCAAGCACACUGGCUCUCUUCUUAACCGGAAUUCAUUCCAGUUCACGUUCUCAGACUGUCUGAAGAUCUUUCCAUUUCUGAACAACAGUGGACCUGGAUGUGAUUUUAACAUUUCAAUGCAAGCUUCCACAUCAGAGGAGCUCAUGCAAGGAACGGUGAAUCCUUCAUUCGUAAUGCUGCAGUUGAGAGAGACAUCUUCCUCGUGGCUUGUUGAAUUGGUAAUCAAACCCAUGACCUUGGCAUUGCUUUGGGACCCCCUUCCUCACCACAAGAAAGCACUUUGUCUGACUUUGAAAUUAAGUAGAGGCUAACUUUUAGUGUUGUAAAUAUCAUGUCUAUAAAUGUCUAUAUAUGUGUGAGUAUUACCAGACACUCUGACAGUGCGAUCUCUCUAUGGGAUAUGUGAUGUGGAAUAUAAAAAAAAAAAAAAAAAAAUCUAAAACAAAUGUAUUUUUUUUUUUUUUCACUUUUUUUUAAGUAAACAUGAAUGGAAAGCACAUAUUUGGGGGAAAUUAACCAAAACUUUGGGUAUCUUGUUCAUCGUGUUUGUUUUCAUAUAAAAGCAUCAGAAUUGAGUUCCGAUCUUUUUAUUAGCUCAUGAGUGCAAAUCGCGCGGUAUCCGCCUGUGAUCUCGUACAUGGCUGAUGCACUUCGAGAAGUGAGAACUGUCCGUCUUGACUGCACUUAUUUCCCUCCUCCCCUCACUACAGCCAUCUACUCGUCUACAUUCCAGGUAAAGCGAGGCGUAUUUCGAAAAGAUUGUAUUUUGUCAUUCUUCAGUUCUGACACGUAACUUUUUUCUAAAACGUCUUUAUUACUUCGUCUUUAUACAGUACAUCUUUCUUUUUUUCCCCGUUAGUCCAUUCCUAAGCCUGCCCUAAACUUAUGUCUACUCAAUGGCUACAAUCUCACCAAUUUAAAAAAGCUCCGCUUACUCGCUGCAUAAGCUCCUCCCCACUCGGAGCAGGUACAUAUUUGUUUCAUUUGGCUCACAGACGACAUCAACCAGCUUUUAGCUCGCGCAGUAAAGCGUGUCUUUGCCAGUGCAGGACUCGUGGGUUCGAAUCCCAGGAAAAGCAGGAAUUGAAGUCAAAUGUUUCUUUAAUAGCUGUGAGUUAUAACUUAUGGCAAAUGCACAAAAAAUAAGAAAUAUAUAAAGAAGACUAAAAAAAAUAAAUAAAUAGAAGUAAAUAAAUUCUACUGAUUUACCUCUUGAUUUGCAGUUGAGAAAAUCAGCGUAAUCAUGUAUUCCGGGCCGAGAUCGGGCAGGUGAGUCUACAGGCCUGCAAUGCCUUGGAGUCAAACUUAUAAGAGGUCAUGAUGUUAAUAGUUUGAAAUUUCCACUUUUCGUUGCUAGUUUUUUCAUUGCGGCUCCACUUUUCUUUGAUGUUCUUCCCUUUAAGGCCAUUAGAGGGCGCUAGAGACAUUAGCUAUAGGCCUGUGUCUCAACGAGGGGCCCUUACCGGCUGUGACUUAAUGGUUGGUGUUUCGGGUUUGUGACAUCAGAGGGGGUGCAACACGAAACACCAAGUAUAUAGUCACAGCCAAAUUUACCAGUAGUGUUCUGGUAGCAUAUAGAAUGUCUGCUACUGGACAAAUAUAAAAACAAAACAAAAUAAAUGAAUAGAUUGUGGUAUAUGCUUAUACUGUAGUUACUCUUAGAGACAUCCUAGGCCUGUGAUGCUGGAGGCACGGACAUGAUCCAUUCACAAAUAUGGGGGCUAAGCCUGUUUUAAGGGAGUCUUGUCUCAAAAUUAGUCAGGUAUAUAAUUGCAGAAAUUCAUAGUUAACUAUGUGUGUGAUAUUAAACCAUAAAAAAGUAAUAUAUGUCCUAUAAAAUUAUAAAUAACAGCAAAUAAUACAACAAUAACAAAUGUAACCAUACUGUGCAUGGUGAAAUUAUGCAUCUGGUUUUCUUGCUGGAAAGUCAGAUAGACACAAUACAAAA